rnacentral:rRNA from 1 species
GAUGAACGCUGGCGGCGUGCCUAAUACAUGCAAGUCGAGCGAACGGACGAGAAGCUUGCUUCUCUGAUGUUAGCGGCGGACGGGUGAGUAACACGUGGAUAACCUACCUAUAAGACUGGGAUAACUUCGGGAAACCGGAGCUAAUACCGGAUAAUAUUUGAACCGCAUGGUUCAAAAGUGAAAGACGGUCUUGCUGUCACUUAUAGAUGGAUCCGCGCUGCAUUAGCUAGUUGGUAAGGUAACGGCUUACCAAGGCAACGAUGCAUAGCCGACCUGAGAGGGUGAUCGGCCACACUGGAACUGAGACACGGUCCAGACUCCUACGGGAGGCAGCAGUAGGGAAUCUUCCGCAAUGGGCGAAAGCCUGACGGAGCAACGCCGCGUGAGUGAUGAAGGUCUUCGGAUCGUAAAACUCUGUUAUUAGGGAAGAACAUAUGUGUAAGUAACUGUGCACAUCUUGACGGUACCUAAUCAGAAAGCCACGGCUAACUACGUGCCAGCAGCCGCGGUAAUACGUAGGUGGCAAGCGUUAUCCGGAAUUAUUGGGCGUAAAGCGCACGUAGGCGGUUUUUUAAGUCUGAUGUGAAAGCCCACGGCUCAACCGUGGAGGGUCAUUGGAAACUGGAAAACUUGAGUGCAGAAGAGGAAAGUGGAAUUCCAUGUGUAGCGGUGAAAUGCGCAGAGAUAUGGAGGAACACCAGUGGCGAAGGCGACUUUCUGGUCUGUAACUGACGCUGAUGUGCGAAAGCGUGGGGAUCAAACAGGAUUAGAUACCCUGGUAGUCCACGCCGUAAACGAUGAGUGCUAAGUGUUAGGGGGUUUCCGCCCCUUAGUGCUGCAGCUAACGCAUUAAGCACUCCGCCUGGGGAGUACGACCGCAAGGUUGAAACUCAAAGGAAUUGACGGGGACCCGCACAAGCGGUGGAGCAUGUGGUUUAAUUCGAAGCAACGCGAAGAACCUUACCAAAUCUUGACAUCCUUUGACAACUCUAGAGAUAGAGCUUUCCCCUUCGGGGGACAAAGUGACAGGUGGUGCAUGGUUGUCGUCAGCUCGUGUCGUGAGAUGUUGGGUUAAGUCCCGCAACGAGCGCAACCCUUAAGCUUAGUUGCCAUCAUUAAGUUGGGCACUCUAAGUUGACUGCCGGUGACAAACCGGAGGAAGGUGGGGAUGACGUCAAAUCAUCAUGCCCCUUAUGAUUUGGGCUACACACGUGCUACAAUGGACAAUACAAAGGGCAGCGAAACCGCGAGGUCAAGCAAAUCCCAUAAAGUUGUUCUCAGUUCGGAUUGUAGUCUGCAACUCGACUACAUGAAGCUGGAAUCGCUAGUAAUCGUAGAUCAGCAUGCUACGGUGAAUACGUUCCCGGGUCU